AUGAUGAACAAAUUAACCGUGUUUUCUGUAUUAAUUGUAAUUUUCAGUUUUUUUAUUUUUAAUUUUGAAAUUAGCGAGAGAUGGUUUCGAAUUGAAAUGAUGCAUCGCGUUUUCUGUGGAUUUCGAUGCAUUGGAGUGGCGAUUUUUGUUUUCUAUUGCAAUGUUGUUAUUUUGUUUUUGCCCUUAUUUUGGAGUUUGCUUUUUAGCUUUUUCUUGUGUGUUGCGGUGUUUUCUAGAUUCCGACUCAGAUCUACACUGGCUUUUUCAAUUGAGUUGUUGUUGAUCGUUAAUUUUUCUUUCGGUGAUUUGUUUUAUUAUCUGAAAUUUUUAUAUCACUUUUUUUUGGUUCUAUAA